rnacentral:rRNA from 1 species
AUUGAACUCUGGCGGCCGGCCUAACACAUGCAAGUCGAACGAGUGGCGGACUGGUGAGUAAUGUCUGGGAAACUGCCUUAUGGAGGGGGAUAACUACUGGAAACGGUAGCUAAUACCGCAUACCAUCGGAUGUGCCCAGAUGGGAUUAGCUAGUAGGUGGGGUAAAGGCUCACCUAGGCGACGAUCCCUAGCUGGUGUGAGAGGAUGACCAUCCAAACUGGAACUGAGAGACGGGACAGACGCCUACGGGAGGCAGAAGUGGGGAAUAUGGAAGAAUGGGCGCAAGCCUGAUGUAGCCAUGCCGAGUGUAUGAAGAAGGCCUUAGGGUUGUAAAGUACUUUGAGAGGGGAUGCGUUAACCGCAGAAGAAGCACCGGCUAACUCAGUGCAAGCAGCAGCGGUAAUUC